AUGAAUGCUGGCGGCGUGCCUUAGGCAUGCAAGUCGAGUGGGUUUAGACCCACGGCAGACGAGGUAGUAAUACACAGGUACGCACCGAAGAGUCCGGGAUAUUCCGUCGAAAGACGGCGCAAUACCGGAUGGUACGGAGACGUUAAAACUUUGCACCUUACGGUGCAAGGCGCUCUUUGAGCGGCCUGUGCCGCAUCAGCUAGUUGGUAAGGUAACGGCUUACCAAGGCUACGACGCGUAGGGGAGCUGAGAGGCUGACCCCCACCGAUGGAACUGAGACACGGUCCAUACAUCUACGGAUGGCUGCAGUCAAGAAUCUUCGACAAUGGACGAAAGUCUGAUCGAGCGACGCCGCGUGCUGGACGAAGUCCUUCGGGACGUAAACAGCUUUUAUGGGGGAAGAAGUAAUUGACAUUACCCCAUGAAUAAGGGGCUCCUAACUCUGU
rnacentral:rRNA from 1 species